AUUGAACGCUGGCGGCAGGCCUAACACAUGCAAGUCGGACGGUAGCACAGAGAGCUUGCUCUUGGGUGACGAGUGGCGGACGGGUGAGUAAUGUCUGGGGAUCUGCCCGAUAGAGGGGGAUAACCACUGGAAACGGUGGCUAAUACCGCAUAACGUCGCAAGACCAAAGAGGGGGACCUUCGGGCCUCUCACUAUCGGAUGAACCCAGAUGGGAUUAGCUAGUAGGCGGGGUAAUGGCCCACCUAGGCGACGAUCCCUAGCUGGUCUGAGAGGAUGGCCAGCCAACCUGGAACUGAGACACGGACCAGACUCCUACGGGAGGCAGCAGUCGGGAAUAUUGCACAAUGGGAGCAAGCCUGAUGCAGCCAUGCCGCGUGUAUGAAGAAGGCCUUCGGGUUGUAAAGUACUUUCAGCGGGGAGGAAGGCGACGCGGUUAAUAACCGCGUCGAUUGACGUUACCCGCAGAAGAAGCACCGGCUAACUCCGUGCCAGCCGCCGCCGUAA
rnacentral:rRNA from 1 species